AAGCAUGUAGUACCGAGGACGUAGGAAUUUCGGACGCGGGUUCAACUCCCGCCAGCUCCACCA
rnacentral:tmRNA from 1 species